GAAGCUGCAUAUCGUUUAUUGCAACUGUAUAUGAUACAUGUUAGCUUUGUUACAUUAUAUUACAAAUAUAUUUUAUGUACAGACAAAAUGUGUUGAGUCAUUUUACACCAACAAUACAUUUAUACAGUACAUACAUUGUUCCUUGGUUGCAAGCAAAAUUGAGUUUUCAUGUCAGAAAGCAAUAUUGAAAUAUGACAGCUGCAUGUAACCUUUAUAUUUGAUAAAAUAUCACUCUACCAUCUAGACUUAUGAUCAAGUCAGUUGUCAUUGUAUAGUCGUGGCCAAAAGUUUUGAGAAUGACACAAAUAUUAAUUUUCACAAAGUUUGCUGCUUCAGUGUCUUUAAAUAUUUUUGUCAGAUGUUAAUAUGGAAUACUGAAGUAUAAUUACAACCAUUUCAUAAGUGUCAAAGGCUUUUAUUGACAAUUACAUGAAGUUGAUGCAAAGAGUCAAUAAUUGCAGUGUUGACUAUUCUUUUUCAAGACCUCUGCAAUCCGCCCUGGCAUGCUGUCAAUUAACUUCUGGGCCACAUCCUGACUGAUGGCAGCCCAUUGUUGCAUAAUCAAUGCUUGGAGUUUGUCAGAAUUUGUGGGUUUUUGUUUGUCCACCCGCCUCUUGAGGAUUGACCACAAGUUCUCAAUGGGAUUAAGGUCUGGGGAGUUUCCUGGCCAUGGACCCAAAAUAUCUGUUUUGUUCUCCGAGCCACUUAGUUAUCACCUUUGCCUUAUGGCAAGGUGCUCCAUCAUGGUGGAAAAGGCAUUAUUCAUCACCAAACUGUUCUUGGAUGGUUGGGAGAAGUUGCUCUCGGGGGAUGUGUUGGUACCAUUCUUUAUUCAUGGCUAUGUUCUUAGGCAAAAUUGUGAGUGAGCCCACUCCCUUGGCUGAGAAGCAACCCCACACAUGAAUGGUCUCAGGAUGCUUUACUGUUGGCAUGACGCAGGACUGAUGGUAGCGCUCACCUUGUCUUCUCCGGACAAGCUUUUUUCCGGAUGCCCCAAACAAUCGGAAAGGGGAUUCAUCAGAGAAAAUGACUUUACCCCAGUCCUCAGCAGUCCAAUCCCUGUACCUUUUGCAGAAUAUCAGUCUGUCCCUUAUGUUUUUCCUGGAGAGAAGUGGCUUCUUUACUGCCCUUCUUGACACCAGGCCAUCCUCCAAAAGUCUUCAUCUCACUGUGCAUGCAGAUGCACUCACACCUGCCUGCUGCCAUUCCUGAGCAAGCUCUGUACUGGUGGUGCUCCAAUCCCGCAGCUGAAUCAACUUUAGGAGACGGUCCUGGUGCUUGCUGGACCAUCUUGGGCGCCCUGAAGCCUUCUUCGCAACAAUUGAACCGCUCUCCUUGAAGUUCUUGAUGAUCCGAUAUAUGGUUGAUUUAGGUGCAAUCUUACUGGCAGCAAUUUCCUUGCCUGUGAAGCCCGUUUUGUGCAAAGCAAUGAUUACGGCACGUGUUACCUUGCAGGUAACCAUGUUUGACAGAGGAAGAACAAUGAUUGCAAGCACCACCCUCCUUUUGAAGCUUCCAGUCUGUUAUUCAAACUCAAUCAGCAUGACAGAGUGAUCUCCAGCCUUGUCCUCGUCAACACUCACACCUGUGUUAACGAGAGAAUCACUGACAUGAUGUCAGCUGGUCCUUUUGUGGCAGGGCUGAAAUGCAGUGGAAAUGUUUUGGGGGGAUUCAGUUCAUUUGCAUGGCAAAGAGGGACUUUGCAAUUAAUUGCAAUUCAUCUGAUCAUUCUUCAUAACAUUCUGGAGUAUAUGCAAAUUGCCAUCAUACAAACUGAGGCAGCAGACUUUGUGAAAAUUAAUAUUUGUGUCAUUCUCAAAACUUUUGGCCACGACUGUACUUCGGUUUUACUGGACCCUGUACCUUGGACUACUGUGCCACACAAGCAUUAUGUAUAGUUGAAUGAUAUACAUCAUUGUUUACUGUGAGUUUGUAAGACAGAUAGCAGGUGAUGAUUGUUGACAGUACCAGACUAUUGUAUCUGUGCCUCCUUUAACAUUCGUGGUAGACAUUAGAUUGUAUAUCUUAACAAAGAUGAUGGCUAAUGGCGAAUGAAUUGCAGGUAUACACAAUAAGAGUACCUGUACCAGGAAAUGUGAUUAUUGUUUCCUAUAAAUGACUCACCUGAAGAGCUCGCUUUAAACAAAAUAAGGCUAGUCACUGGAUAUAAUGUCCUGUGUCAUCUUCAUUCUACUAAAAAGAUGUAUUGUAUUAUAAUACAUACGGAUUUCAAUAUAAGAUUGCAAUCCCAAGCUACUUAGUGUAAGUACUGUGAACUGACGUACUCUCUCCUCAUUUUCUUUUUAUCUUUGUUUUAUCCCAAAUGAAUCACACCGUUCCAUCAGUUCUAAGGUAGCAGUACACCUUACUCAAUGUAAAGCUAACAGACACAUUUGAAUAGAAUUUGAAGGGAGAGAAGCAAGCAUACAGCUGUGCUAGUGCAUAUGUUUGUCUUUGGAGCAACAUUUGUUUUUAUUAUGGAUCCCCAUUAGCAGCAGCUACUCUUCCUGGGGUCCAGCAAAAUUAAGGCAGUUAUAUACAAUUAAAAACAUAAUAUUACAUUUCACAACAGAUUUCACAACAGAUUUCACAACACAUUAAGUGUGUGUCCCCAGGCCACUACUCUACUACCACAUAUCUCCAACAUAAAAUCCAUGUGUACGUGUGUGUAUAGUGCGUACGUUAUCGUGUUAAUGUGUGCCUCCUAUAGUCUGUUCUAGACUUGGGGACUGUGAAGAGACCUCUGGUGGCAUGUCUUGUGGGGUAUGCAUGGGUGUCGGUGCAUUCAACAUGUAAAUACGUCUCACGAAUACAAGCAGUGAUAAAGUCAAUCUCCUAUAUUUUGAGCCAGGAGAGAUUGACAUAUUAAUGUUAGCUCCCCGUGUACAUUUAAGUGCCAGCCGUGCUGUCCUGUUCUGGGCCUGCUCUGUCCAGUCGCGUGGCACCUGACCACACGACUGGACAGUAGUGCAGGUCCAACAAAACUAGGGCCUGUAGGACCUGCCUUGUCAAUAGCGUUGUUAACAAGGCAGAACAGCAUUUUAUUAUGGACAGACUUCACCCCAUCUUAGCUACUGUUGCAUCAAUAUGUUUUGACCAUGAUAGUUUACAAUCCAGGAUCACUCCAAGCAGUUUAGUCUCCUCAACUUGCUUAAUUUGCACAUUAUUCAUUACAAUAUUUAGUUGAGUCUUAGUGUACAGUGAAUGAUUUGUCCCAAAUACAAUGCUUUUAGUUUUUGAAAUAUUCAGGACUAACUUAUUUCUUGCCACCCAUUCUGAAACUGACUGCAGCUCUUUAAGUUAUUUCACUUGCUGUAGUAGUUGAAGUGUAUAGUGUUGAGUCAUCAGCAUACAUUGAAACACAGGCUUUACUAGGAGCCAGUGGCAGGUAAUUAGUAAAGAUUGAAAAAAGUAAGGGGCCUAGAUAGCUGCCCUGGGGAAUGCCUGACUAUACCUGGAUUAUGUUGGAGAAGUUUCCAUUAAAGAACACCCUCUGUGUUCUGUUAGGCAGGUAACUCUUGAUCCACAAUAUACCAGGGGAUGUAAAGCCAUAACACGUACACUACCGUUCAAAAGUUUGGGGUCACUUAGAAAUGUCCUUGUUUUUGAAAGAAAAGCACAUUUUGGUCCAUUAAAAUAACAUCAAAUUAUUGAUCAGAAAUACAGUGUAGACAUUGUUAAUGUUGUAAAUGACUAUUGUAACUGGAAACGACAGAUUUUUUAUGGAAUAUCUACAUCGGUGUACAGAGGCUCAUUAUCAGCAACCAUCACUCCUCUGUUCCAAUGACACGUUGUGUUAGCUAAUCCAGGUUUAUCAUUUUAAAAGUCUAAUUGAUCAUUAGAAAACAGCUGAAAACUGUUGUGAUUAAAGAAGCAAUAAAACUGGCAUUCUUUAGACUAGUUGAGUAUCUGGAGCUUCAGCAUUUGUGGGUUUGAGUACAGGCUCAAAAUGGCCAAAAACAAAGAACUUUCUUCUGAAAGACAUCAGUCUAUUGUUGUGAGAAAUUAAGGCUGUUCCAUGUGAGAAAUUGCCAAGAAACUGAAGAUCUUGUACAACGCUGUGUACUAUUCCCUUCACAGAACAGUGAAAACUGG
rnacentral:lncRNA from 1 species